ensembl:lincRNA
CAGGCACAAGAGGUACCCGGGACAGAGCUCCCUGGAGAGAUCCGGGGAGUCCCACCUGGAGGAAAUGGUGCAGCCAUCACUCACUUGCACAAGGAUGAAGGGCAGAAGCAGAAACAGGACUUGAACUUUAUGACCUGGAGGAGAUAACGUCAGUCAAGGAGCUCGCUUUCUGAUCAACACUGCCCUUCCCCCAGCAGACUGUGCGGCCGGCCGCAGCACUGUCAAGGCAGAGGAGAGAGCAUUCGAGGUAAUUUCCAUUUCUUACUGGGGUCCUCAGUGAACAUUCAAAAGAGAGGAGACAGUGGCGGGCUGUGGAGGUUAUUAAAAGACGAUUUUAUUUUUAGCAGGAUUGCAAGGGAGCAUUGGAGGGAACGUGUGGAUGUUUGCAGUGUUAAUGACCAAGGGGCCCAGCUUGCUUUGGAGGAAGCAGAGGAACAAGUGCAUCUCAACUCUAUUGACAAGAAAACUGAUCCCAGAGAGAUUCAAGCCUUGCUUCAGAUCCUGUCUCAGUCAGCAGGGACACAGAGGGCCUGGGAGUACUGAAUUUCUCUUCAAAUCAUUACCCUCCUUAUAAAUAUUUAUGAGCACUAAACUGUACACUUAAAAAUAGUAUAGAUGGUAAAUUAUAUGGGAAGAUUUUACCUCAAUUUUUUGGCCAUGCGUGGUGGUUCACACCUAUAAUCUCAGCACUUUGGAAGACUGAGGCAGGCGGAUCACUGGAGGUAAGGAGUUCAAGAGCAACCAGACCAACAUGGUGAAACCCCAUCCCUACUAAAAAUAUAAAAAUUAGCCGGGCGUAGUGACACGCGCCUGUAAUCCCAGUUACUCAGGAGGCUGAAGCAGGAGAAUUGCUUGAACCUGGAAGAUGGAAGUUGCAAUGAGCCAAGAUCACGCCAUUGCACUCCAGCCUGGUGAAGCUAUGUCUCAAAUAUAUAUAUAUAUAUAAGAAAACGAAAUUAUUGCCCUUCUUGCUUCAGCACCUUGGGGUCUCCCUGAAAAGUGCCUCUCUACCUGGUUUUCCAGAGUGGCGUGAGCAUGUGCAAGCUCCUCAAAGAUGCAAGAGUUUCUGAGCUGCUCAGGAGCCCGGC